CCUACGGGAGGCUGCAGUGAGGAAUAUUGGUCAAUGGGCUUACGCCUGAACCAGCCAAGUCGCGUGAGGGAAGACUGCCCUAUGGGUUGUAAACCUCUUUUGUCAGGGAGCAAUUGGCGCUACGUGUAGCGUUAUCGAGAGUACCUGAAGAAAAAGCAUCGGCUAACUCCGUGCCAGCAGCCGCGGUAAUACGGAGGAUGCGAGCGUUAUCCGGAUUUAUUGGGUUUAAAGGGUGCGUAGGCGGAAUGCCAAGUCAGCGGUAAAAUCGCGGGGCUCAACCUCGCUCCGCCGUUGAAACUGGCGUCCUUGAGUGGGCGAGAGGUAGGCGGAAUGCGUGGUGUAGCGGUGAAAUGCAUAGAUAUCACGCAGAACUCCGAUUGCGAAGGCAGCAUGCCGGCGCCCGACUGACGCUGAGGCACGAAGGCGUGGGUAUCGAACAGGAUUAGAUACCCCGGUAGUC
rnacentral:rRNA from 1 species